rnacentral:tRNA from 1 species
UUAAACUCCUCCUUAAUG